UGGGGGAUAUUGCACAAUGGGCGAAAGCCUGAUGCAGCGACGCCGCGUGGGGGAUGAAGGCUUUCGGGUUGUAAACCUCUUUCGCUAUCGAACAAGGCCCGCUUAGGGUGGGUUGAGGGUAGGUGGAGAAGAAGCGCCGGCUAACUACGUGCCAGCAGCCGCGGUAAUACGUAGGGCGCGAGCGUUGUCCGGAAUUAUUGGGCGUAAAGGGCUUGUAGGCGGCUUGUUGCGCCUGCUGUGAAAACGCGGGGCUUAACUUCGCGCGUGCAGUGGGUACGGGCAGGCUUGAGUGUGGUAGGGGUGACUGGAAUUCCAGGUGUAGCGGUGGAAUGCGCAGAUAUCUAGAGGAACACCGAUGGCGAAGGCAGGUCACUGGGCCAUUACUGACGCUGAGGAGCGAAAGCAUGGGUAGCGAACAGG
rnacentral:rRNA from 1 species